rnacentral:lncRNA from 1 species
AUGGGCAAUUCGGGAUUAAGAACUUCCCAUCAGCCUUGCCGAAUUCUCUUAGAACUUCUAGCUAUACACGUUUCUCCUCUGUCUCCUGCCCAAGGGCCAGACCUGCGUGGAAGUGUGGCAGCUCCCCUGUCCACAGCUGCCUCCCCGUGUUCUGUUCCUCGGAAGAUGCUCCCUGAGGAAUCGCACUCAUCUCAUCCUGUGCGGCAUCUGCUUAAAGGACCUGGCCUAACAUGCCCUGCAACAGAGGAUGACAGGAAGCCUUACUUUACAUCAGAUGGGUUUGAGGGAGCCCCGAACUGAGAGCAUCUGAGGUUCUGUGAGGCGGUAGAGAAAAAAAGGUUUGUGUUUCUGUAUGGUUAGGAAUUCUGGGAAAAUCAGAGUGAAACUUGGGACCCGGGCUAAAAGAGCAGCAAACUGCAGAAGUUAAUUCACAACUGUAGCUUGUGAAAACUUCAAAGAGAUUUUUGGCUCUGGUGGUAUUUGUUAUUUCAUUUUUUUUUUUUUUCUUUUUUAAGAGAUGGGGUCUGGCUCUGCUGCCCAGGCUGGAUUGCAGGGGCAUGAUCCUAGCUCACUGUACCCUC